CCUACGGGGGGCAGCAGUGGGGAAUCUUGCGCAAUGGGCGAAAGCCUGACGCAGCAACGCCGCGUGCGGGAUGACGGCCUUCGUGGUUGUAAACCGCUUUCAGCAGGGACGAAAAUGACGGUACCUGCAGAAGAAGCCCCGGCUAACUACGUGCCAGCAGCCGCGGUAAUACGUAGGGGGCAAGCGUUGUCCGGAAUCAUUGGGCGUAAAGAGCUCGUAGGCGGUUCAGUAAGUCGGGUGUGAAAGCUCCGAGCUCAACUCGGAGAGGCCACUCGAUACUGCUGUGACUAGAAUCCAGUAGGGGAGUGUGGAACUCCUGGUGUAGCGGUGAAAUGCGCAGAUAUCAGGAAGAACACCAGCGGCGAAGGCGGCACUCUGGGCUGGAAUUGACGCUGAGGAG
rnacentral:rRNA from 1 species